CCUCCUUUCCCCAGCAUUUGGGAAUAUUGCCCCAUGGGGGAAACCCUGACGCCCCCCCUCCUCUUUCUUUCUUCCUUCUUUCGGUUUGUAAACCGCUUUCAGCAGGGAAUAUAGUGACGGUACCUGCAGAAGAAGCCCCGGCUAAAUACGUGCCAGCAGCCGCGGUAAUACGUAUGGGGCGAGCGUUAUCCGGAUUCAUUGGGCGUAAAGCGCGCGCAGGCGGGCUGCUAAGCGGGACCUCUAAUCUCGGGGCUCAACCCCGAGCCGGGUUCCGAACUGGCAGCCCCCGGUUCGGUAGGGGUAGG
rnacentral:rRNA from 1 species